AUUAAAUCUUUGUUUGCUGUUCGCCUGUUCGGUUAAAUAGAGAAACUGACUCUUAAUUAUAUAAAAGUACCUUGAAUUUUUAAGUUUAAUUAAAAAGCAAAAUGCUCUGCGGACAUGUUCAUGUCGUUCAUGAGAAUAUAAAUUUUUUGUGUAACGAAAUCUACAACACUUGUCAAUCAUAUUGCAUGUGUGUCUAAAAAUAACAUGUGGGCGUCCCACGGUCUAGACAGGUUUUGUGUCGGGCCCUAUUUCAAAUUAGGGCCUGAACUUCAGGUUA